ACUAUUCUAUUAAUCUACUUAAAUCUCUCCUACUCCGGCUUUAAACAUAAUCGGUAUCUCCAACAAUUAGAAAUUACAAAGGCUUCAUUUGGAAUUACGGGGAGAUUGUGUUAUGUGCGGUGAGAAACGACGAUGGAAAAAUAUCAUGUUUGUCUCCGUACGUAAUAUUGUGUUCCGUAUAUUGUGGUUAGUCGGUUAUGAUAUAUUUUCUGUGAUCCCAUCGGAGAACGCAGAAACAUAUCCCGUUAUAUAUUUUUUUCAACUUCAUUCUAUUUAAUAGUGUUAGAUAGACCACAAUACCAAACUAAGCCUAAAUAGAUUAUGUAUUGCUAUAG
rnacentral:lncRNA from 1 species